rnacentral:rRNA from 1 species
UGCAUAUCCCAUAAGCGGAGGAAAAGAAACCAACUGGGAUUACCUUAGUAACGGCGAGUGAAGCGGUAAAAGCUCAAAUUUGAAAUCUGGUACUUUCAGUGCCCGAGUUGUAAUUUGUAGAAUUUGUCUUUGAUUAGGUCCUUGUCUAUGUUCCUUGGAACAGGACGUCAUAGAGGGUGAGAAUCCCGUUUGGCGAGGAUACCUUUUCUCUGUAAGACUUUUUCGAAGAGUCGAGUUGUUUGGGAAUGCAGCUCAAAGUGGGUGGUAAAUUCCAUCUAAAGCUAAAUAUUGGCGAGAGACCGAUAGCGAACAAGUACAGUGAUGGAAAGAUGAAAAGAACUUUGAAAAGAGAGUGAAAAAGUACGUGAAAUUGUUGAAAGGGAAGGGCAUUUGAUCAGACAUGGUGUUUUUUGCAUGCACUCGCCUCUCGUGGGCUUGGGCCUCUCAAAAAUUUCACUGGGCCAACAUCAAUUCUGGCAGUAGGAUAAAUCAUUAAGAAUGUAGCUACCUCGGUAGUGUUAUAGCUUAUUGGAAUACUGCUAGCUGGGAUUGAGGACUGCGCUUCGGCAAGGAUGUUGGCAUAAUGGUUAAAUGCCGCCCGUCUUGAAACMCGGACCA